CCUACGGGUGGCAGCAGUGAGGAAUAUUGGUCAAUGGACGAGAGCCUGAACCAGCCAAGUAGCGUGAAGGAUGACUGCCCUAUGGGUUGUAAACUUCUUUUAUAUGGGAAUAAAACAGGGUAUGCAUACCCUCUUGUAUGUACCAUAUGAAUAAGGAUCGGCUAACUCCGUGCCAGCAGCCGCGGUAAUACGGAGGAUCCGAGCGUUAUCCGGAUUUAUUUGGUUUAAAGGGAGCGUAGGGGGAUUGUUAAGUCAGUUGUGAAAGUUUGCGGCUCAACCGUAAAAUUGCAGUUGAAACUGGCAGUCUUGAGUACGGUAGAGUUGGGCGGAAUUCGUGGUGUAGCGGUGACAUGCUUAGAUAUCACGCAGAACUCCGAUUGCGAAGGCAGCUCACUGGACUGCAACUGACACUGAUGCUCGAAAGUGUGGGUAUCAAACAGGAUUAGAUACCCGGGUAGUC
rnacentral:rRNA from 1 species